UCAAACGUGCCGAGGCUUCUCAAUACUUG
rnacentral:sRNA from 1 species